ensembl:lncRNA
GGGGUGGGGUGCUCCCUCCCGCUCCUUUAAAUCUGCGUAGGAGUGCGAGAAGACGUUGUUAAUUAAAUGACAGGCUCGGACAAGUGCAAGUACAGUACAACGAAAUGCAUUCUUGAAAGGAGGGACAACACCAUGACCGCCAUGGUCGACUAUUGCCCCCGACUCCAACACCAGUCCCAUCACCUCUACCACUACCGGUCCAAGAACACCCAAAAAUGUGGUCCUGGGGACCUUCCCCCUGCCCAUCUGCUUGAGAGUGGACUCCACCUCGGCCAGUGAGAUGGGCGUCCCCAACCCCUCCCUGACCUCAUCCGGCACGCGUCUCGUCAGGUAGUCCAGGAAACAAGUCCCCGCCUCCGCCUCGACCACACCGCCCCCAAAAAACCUCCUGAUGUCUGGGGGGGUGGUCUGGGACCCUGGCCCGAUGGUGGGGGCGGCCACAGACCACCACCCCCAGACUCUACCUCACCGAGCCGAAGAAGGCAGCAGAGCAGGUCUCGUCCGUCCCUGUAGGCCCUCUUCAAAUAGGUAUGAGCCCAUCAUACCUCAUCCGAGACGAACGGGAAGUACAUAUGGACUGUAACCGCCCAGAAAUUCCUCUUCGACAGGUCCGUCACCUGAAAGAGGUUGAAGGGACGAACCUGCCCUGCCUCGGCCACCUUCUUCAGGACCUCCUCCUUCUUCACCUCCAUGUAGAAGGUGACGUCAAAUGCCUGCUUCUGGAUGUUACCCUGGAGGCAGAGGACGUCGCCAGUGCCCAGCUUCAACGCCCCGAGGAGCAUCAACUGCCCGAACUGUUCCUGACUCCUGGGCUCCACUGGCUUCGCCAGGCUCUUCCACUGGAAUCGCAGGGUAUUCCGUGCCCCUGCCCAGGAGAUCGCACCAGCCACCACUGCCAUGGUGUAACUGAAUCCGGUCGAAACCGCUGCUCUUUUAGGGUUACCCUGGGGCCCUGACUCUUCUCUUGAUCUUAACCAAAAGGCUGAGAAGCGAUACGAUGAACCUUUCGGGAAGAACAAGUCAUUCUAAGACGUGUCAAACGCCAUGACGGUUACACCAAAACUAGCUCUUUAGACUUUCACAGGAAUAUCAAAACUUAUUUUUUAAUAAACCUAUACUGCUUACAUUGGACAUUGAUCAAUAUUCAGAAAAACUGCAUUGACACUGUUUGACACUGAGAAUAUAAAAAAUAUUUAUUGGGGAAAAUCAUCUGGUCAUCUGCCAUCCAAUCGGGAAUGAGAAAUUGUUAUUGGAUUCAAACAAAUUCAUCUACUUCGCUGAAAUAUUAAUUAGGAAAUUUGUGAUAGGAAACCAUAGUCAGAUUUCUGUUAACUUUAGAGACCAUCAUUAUAUUUAAAACAUAUUUGUUAUCCCACAUUAAAUCAAUGUGGAAGCACCAAGGAACUGAAGUACUCCAUAUGGCCACCAGGUGACGCCUGAGUUGCCUGCAGAGUGAGAUCCUUUCAAAAUAUAUUUAAAGGUGGGUAAUUAAUUUUUUGGUAUUAUAAUGGAACCCAGCAUGAUGCUUUUAUUUGAUUUCAUUACAACCCACAGCAGGGUAAAGGCCAAACUCAAAAAGGCAGGAUGGAUUAAAACAAUUAGAUAUGUAAUGUCAAAGCCAGUAAUGCCUUUAGGGAGAACAUCAUAAGGACUAAACUGAGAAUGGAUGUGCUGGAACCCUUUACAUUUGAAAUGUGUUUGUAGCCAGAGUUGGUUAUACCCCACCCUUUGUAAAACAUAUGCAGCGAGGAUAAAUACAUUUGCUGGAAUAAGUUGUUCAAUAUUUACACACUCUUCCCUCCAUAGCAAAUGUAUUACAUUGAAUAAAGUACAAGUGUUCCUCAUAACUUUUCUAACAGAGGCUUUGGUCCAAAAGCCGUCACUGGGAGGAAGUAUCACUGUGGUAAAUGCAAUCAGGGUGUUGGUCAAGAGACUCGCUGAAGGCCAUCAGUGCCGGGUGCCCUGAAAUGAAGAAUAUUAACAAUUAAACCCUGGUCAACCAUAUACAAAUAAUUAAGGAAUGUGAGGAAUCAGGAAAUUAGAGAUGAAAC